rnacentral:snoRNA from 1 species
UCCCUCCAGAUUCCUUAUCUUUUAAACCUAAAUAGUGGUUACAGUGGCUUAAAAAAGGAGAAGAAAAGUAAAAUAGAAAUGGACUUGGAGUCUUUAGUGAUGAAUUCAUCUCAAACAAAC